rnacentral:rRNA from 1 species
GAUGAACGCUGGCGGCGUGCCUAAUACAUGCAAGUCGAGCGAACAGAUAAGGAGCUUGCUCCUUUGACGUUAGCGGCGGACGGGUGAGUAACACGUGGGUAACCUACCUAUAAGACUGGGAUAACUUCGGGAAACCGGAGCUAAUACCGGAUAACAUUUGGAACCGCAUGGUUCUAAAGUGAAAGAUGGUUUUGCUAUCACUUAUAGAUGGACCCGCGCCGUAUUAGCUAGUUGGUAAGGUAACGGCUUACCAAGGCAACGAUACGUAGCCGACCUGAGAGGGUGAUCGGCCACACUGGAACCGAGACACGGUCCAGACUCCUACGGGAGGCAGCAGUAGGGAAUCUUCCGCAAUGGGCGAAAGCCUGACGGAGCAACGCCGCGUGAGUGAUGAAGGGUUUCGGCUCGUAAAACUCUGUUAUUAGGGAAGAACAAACGUGUAAGUAACUGUGCACGUCUUGACGGUACCUAAUCAGAAAGCCACGGCUAACUACGUG